rfam:Schistosoma mattheei strain Denwood, Zambia genome assembly, scaffold: SMTD_scaffold0005613
GUAAAGGCCCUUUUCAGGGCCACCCCACAAUUUGAUUACCAUUAUUU